UACAGAGGGUGCGAGCGUUAAUCGGAAUUACUGGGCGUAAAGCGUGCGUAGACGGUUAUUUAAGUCGGAUGUGAAAGCCCCGGGCUCAACCUGGGAAUUGCAUUCGAGACUGAAUAGCUAGGGUGCGGUAGAGGGAAGCGGAAUUUCCGGUGUAGCGGUGAAAUGCGUAGAUAUCGGAAGGAACAUCAGUGGCGAAAGCGGCUUCCUGGACCAGGCACCGAACGUCAGGCACGAAAGCAUGGG
rnacentral:rRNA from 1 species